AUGCUUAACACAUGCAAGUCGAACGGGGUUUUCGGACACAGUGGCGGACGGGUGAGUAACGCGUGAGAAUCUGGCUCUAGGUCGGGGACAACCACUGGAAACGGAGGCUAAUACCGGAUGUGCCGAGAGGUGAAAGGCUUGCUGCCUAGAGAUGAGCUCGCGUCUGAUUAGCUAGUAGGUGGGGUAAGAGCCUACCUAGGCGACGAUCAGUAGCUGGUCUGAGAGGAUGAUCAGCCACACUGGGACUGAGACACGGGCCCAGACUCCUACGGGAGGCAGCAGUGGGGAAUUUUCCGCAAUGGGCGAAAGCCUGACGGAGCAAUACCGCGUGAGGGAGGAAGGCUCUUGGGUUGUAACCUCUUUUCUCAAGGAAGAACGCAAUGACGGUACUUGAGGAAUCAGCAUCGGCUAACUCCGUGCCAGCAGCCGCGGUAAUACGGAGGAUGCAAGCGUUAUCCGGAAUGAUUGGGCGUAAAGCGUCCGCAGGUGGCGAUGUAAGUCUGCUGUUAAAGAGUGAGGCUCAACCUCAUAAAAGCAGUGGAAACUACAUAGCUAGAGUUGCGUUCGGGGCAGAGGGAAUUCCUGGUGUAGCGGUGAAAUGCGUAGAUAUCAGGAAGAACACCGGUGGCGAAAGCGCUCUGCUAGGCCGCAACUGACACUGAGGGACGAAAGCUAGGGGAGCGAAUGGGAUUAGAUACCCCAGUAGUCCUAGCCGUAAACGAUGGAUACUAGGCGUGGCUUGUUUCGACCCGAGCCGUGCCGUAGCUAACGCGUUAAGUAUCCCGCCUGGGGAGUACGCACGCAAGUGUGAAACUCAAAGGAAUUGACGGGGGCCCGCACAAGCGGUGGAGUAUGUGGUUUAAUUCGAUGCAACGCGAAGAACCUUACCAAGACUUGACAUGUCGCGAAUCUUCUCGAAAGGGGAGAGUGCCUUCGGGAGCGCGAACACAGGUGGUGCAUGGCUGUCGUCAGCUCGUGUCGUGAGAUGUUGGGUUAAGUCCGCAACGAGCGCAACCCUCGUUUUUAGUUGCCAGCAUUAAGUUGGGCACUCUAGAGAGACUGCCGGUGACAAACCGGAGGAAGGUGGGGAUGACGUCAAGUCAGCAUGCCCCUUACGUCUUGGGCUACACACGUACUACAAUGCUACGGACAGAGGGCAGCAAGCCGGCAACGGCAAGCAAAUCCCGUAAACCGUAGCUCAGUUCAGAUCGCAGGCUGCAACUCGCCUGCGUGAAGGAGGAAUCGCUAGUAAUUGCAGGUCAGCAUACUGCAGUGAAUUCGUUCCCGGGCCUUGUACACACCGCCCGUCACACCAUGGAAGCUGGCAACGCCCGAAGUCAUUACUCCAAC
rnacentral:rRNA from 1 species